rnacentral:lncRNA from 1 species
CAUUGUUUGAGGGUGAGCUCACUGGCUCACCCACCCUCCUUGAGCUUGUGUUCAGUUUCUGCUUUUGCCUCAAAGCUGCUUAUGGAGAUGCAGAUGAAGGAUCAAUGUGUGCUUUCUCGUUUUCUUAGCCUUUUAGACUCGGGGUAGAAGGUGGGUGAUGAGAAGUGACUUUUUUUUUUUUUGAAAUUACAGUUUUAUUGAGAUAUAAAUCAUAUACAGUUCACCCAUUGGCAGUGUACAAUUCAGUGGUUUUAGUAUAGUCAGGAUUGUGCAACCAACACCACUCUCUUAGUUCACAAAAUUUUUAUCCAUCCCUAAAAGAAACCCUGUGGCAAAUAGCAUUCACUCCUCUUUGUUCCCCUAACCCCCUCAGCCCCUGGCAACCACUUAUCUUUCUGUCUCUGUGGAUUUACCCAAUCCAUGCAUUUCAUAUAAAUGGAAUGUUAUAGUAUAUAUCUUUAGUGUCUGGCUGACUUAGCAUAACAUUUUCAAGGUUCAUCCAUGUUGUAGCCUGUGUCAAUACUUUAUUCCUUUUCAUGACUGCAUAAUAUUCCAUUGUAUGCACAGACCACAUUUUGUUUAUCCAUUCUUUAGUCACUGGACAUGUAGGUUAUUUUUACUUUGGGCUGUUAUGAAUAAUGCUGCUAUGAACAUUUAUAUACACGUUUUUGUGUGAACAUGCCCAUUUUAAAAUUGGGGUUUUUUGGUUAAGGGGUUGUAAGAGUUUGUUAUCUCUUCUAUAUGAGUUCCUUGAAUAUGAUUAUAUGUAUAUAUGUAUAUNNNNNNNNNNUUUUUUUUUUUUUGAAAUUACAGUUUUAUUGAGAUAUAAAUCAUAUACAGUUCACCCAUUGGCAGUGUACAAUUCAGUGGUUUUAGUAUAGUCAGGAUUGUGCAACCAACACCACUCUCUUAGUUCACAAAAUUUUUAUCCAUCCCUAAAAGAAACCCUGUGGCAAAUAGCAUUCACUCCUCUUUGUUCCCCUAACCCCCUCAGCCCCUGGCAACCACUUAUCUUUCUGUCUCUGUGGAUUUACCCAAUCCAUGCAUUUCAUAUAAAUGGAAUGUUAUAGUAUAUAUCUUUAGUGUCUGGCUGACUUAGCAUAACAUUUUCAAGGUUCAUCCAUGUUGUAGCCUGUGUCAAUACUUUAUUCCUUUUCAUGACUGCAUAAUAUUCCAUUGUAUGCACAGACCACAUUUUGUUUAUCCAUUCUUUAGUCACUGGACAUGUAGGUUAUUUUUACUUUGGGCUGUUAUGAAUAAUGCUGCUAUGAACAUUUAUAUACACGUUUUUGUGUGAACAUGCCCAUUUUAAAAUUGGGGUUUUUUGGUUAAGGGGUUGUAAGAGUUUGUUAUCUCUUCUAUAUGAGUUCCUUGAAUAUGAUUAUAUGUAUAUAUGUAUAUGAUUUAUAAAUUUUUUUCCCAUUGUGUGGGUUUUUUUCACUUUUUUUUUUUAAGAGGCAGGGUCUUACUCUGUCAUCUGGGCUAGAGUGCAGUGGAGUGAUCAUGGCUCACUGCACCUGGAACCCCUGGGCUCAAGGGAUCCUCCUGCCUCAGCCUCCCAAGUAGCUAGGACUGCAGAUGUGUGCCACCACCAUGCCUGCCUAAUUAAAAAAAAAUUUAUGUAGAGCGGGGGUCUUGCUUUGUUGCCUGGGCUGGUCUCAGACUCCUGGCAUCAAGCAAUUCUUCAGCCACCCAAAGCGCUGGAAUUACAGAUUUGAGUUACCAUGCCUAGCCGUUUUUUUUUUUUUUUCACUUUCUUGAUGGUGUCCUUUGAAACUCAAAAGUUUUUAGUUUUGAUGAAGUACAGUUUAUCUUUUUUCUUUUGGUCUCAUAUCUAAGAAAGUUCUGCCUAAUCCAAGGUAAUAAAGAUUUAUGUCUGUUUUAGAGUUUUAUAGUUUUAGUUCUUACACUUGGGUCUUUGAUCCAUUUUGAGUGAGUUUUUGUAUAUGGUGUGAGGCAGGGGUUCACAUGCUGUUACAACUGGAUAACCGGUUGUCCCAAUUAAAAGACUGUUCUUUUCCCAUUUAAUUAUCUUAGUGUCUUCUCACUGUUUUGUAGAUGUUUAUAGUAGAUGAGAGAGCUAGAUUGGUCUUUAUAGCUUUUUUAUUGGUUACUUGCAUGUAUUGUUUGGUAUUAACAUUUACAUGAUGUACAUCAGUUAUCUUCAAAAUUUCUGGUGAAGGACUAAGUUUUAAAAAUUUCUAAUUCAUCAUGGACUGAUAAUUUUGUAAAAAUAAGAAUGAAUUACUAGAAAAAUGAUCAUGUGCUUAGAUGCCAUGACAAUGUCAAACUGUGAUACAAGUUUCUAAAGUUAACACUCUUAGCUUUUGUAUUUACCUUGUCACGGACUAAUGGAGAUAGCAGACUUACUAGACACGUACCUUUUAUAUUUGUAGUCACCCAAAUAAGAUGAAACCCUUGUACUAAUGUGAGUAAAAUCCUACCCCUACCUAUUGUUAUCAAGGUUGCUUCCUACAGCCUUCAAGGUUGAGUAGAAUCCAUCCAUUCAGCCUUUAGUGCCAAGUUGCCAUCCCUGUUCUCAAGGGAAUAAUAAGCCCAAAUAGACAUGGAAGGAGGAGGAAAGACACUAUUCCAACAGUCAGUACGUCCCUUGGGAAUAUAGCAAACAGGAGAAAACCUAGAGAUUCAGCCUCCGGGGCCCUGUGUGUGCUAUAUACAUGCCAGAGAAAACAGUACAGCUAUUAAAAAUGAAAUUCUUGAAGAAUAGUUAACGAUAUAGGAAAAUGUUUAUACAGUUAG